CCUGGGGACCUUGUAUCCAAGGCCAAAACUGCCCUUUGCCCGAGCUAUCACGGGGUAGAAAUCACGAGUUAGGGGAGGGAAGGUCUGGGGCCACCAGCAGCUUUCGAGAGGCUCCGAAACCCUGUCCCACCCCUUACCCCACAAAUUGUAUCUCCAAAUCCACCCCUGCUUCUUUUGCCUCCUAGUGGAGAAUGGUGCUAAAGUGAUCAUCUGCGACAAGGAUGAGUCAGGUGGCCGGGCUCUGGAAAAGGAGUUGCGUUUAGUCAGGCCACCAGCAGGAGCUGUUUUCAUCCGAUGUGAUGUGACCAGAGAAGGGGAAGUGGAGCUCCACCUCUGUGAGUCUUGCCAUCUCUGCUUCAGGAUGUCUCUCUCAUAGACUGUCUCUGACUCUACGAGUCUCCUGUCUCUCUGGUCCCUGAUUUUUGGGGUCUCUCAGGCUCUGAGGCUUUGUCUCCUGGCCCCCAGGCCCUGAUCUUUGAGACUCUGCAACGUUUUGGCCGUCUAGACUGCUUGGUGAACAACGCCGGACGCCAUCCCCCAGAGGAGAUACUGGAAGAGACGUCCUCCCAGGCCUUCCGAGAGCUGCUGGAGUUGAACCUCCUUGCCACAUACACAGUAUCCAAGUUUGCCCUCCCCUUCCUCCGGCAGAGCCAGGGCAGCAUCAUUAACAUCUCCAGCCUGGUGGGGGCCAUUGGGCAGAGAAAGGCUGCAUCUUAUGUGGCCACCAAGGGGGCUGUGACUGCUCUGACCAAGGCUUUGGCCCUGGAUGAGAGUCAGUAUGGUGUCCGAGUCAACUGCAUCUCCCCAGGAAACAUCUGGACCCCGCUGUGGAAGGAGCUGGCCGCCCUGACCCCCGAUCCCUCUGCCACUAUCAGGGAAGGGGAUCAGGCGCAGCCCCUAGGACGGAUGGGCAGGCCGGACGAGGUGGGCGCUGCUGCCGUCUUCCUGGCCUUCCACGCUUCCUUCUGCACUGGCGUGGAGCUGCCCCUGAGCGGGGGCGCCGAGCUGGGUUACGGGCGCAAGGUGCCCCAGACGUGACGAAAGAACCCCCAGAAUCCCGCGCUGCGCCCGCGGGACCCCUGCGGCGGCCCCUGCCCUCCCCUCCCCCAGCUAGCCGCGUCUCCUCAAGCCCUGGACGCUCAGUCCUCCGCCCCUUCCUUCCCCUCGGCCCUUUCCGUCAGAUAAAUUGGAAACAGAAGGCGAUUAUCUUUGCAUUUCUUUGCAUUUUAUUUCCUGCCGCCCCCGCCCGCCACCUGGCCCGGGCCCUGGGGCGGGCGGGGCCUCUUGAGCAAUGCAGUCACGGGGGACGGGGGGCACCAGCUGGGGUCCGAGGCCAGGCUGGGAUUCUGCCCUGGCCUGCCUCCUCUCCGCCCCCGGGAGACCCGAGGCGGGCCUGGGGCGAGGGCCCGGGCUAACGGGCCUGUGAUGGUCUCCCGGAGGAAGAAGGAAUUAACUGCCAAUUAGGCGAGAUUAAUAAAGAAGGCUGGAGAGAAA